AUUGAACGCUGGCGGCAGGCCUAACACAUGCAAGUCGAGCGGUAACACAGGGAGCUUGCUCCCGGGUGACGAGCGGCGGACGGGUGAGUAAUGUCUGGGAAACUGCCUGAUGGAGGGGGAUAACUACUGGAAACGGUAGCUAAUACCGCAUAAUGUCGCAAGACCAAAGAGGGGGACCUUCGGGCCUCUUGCCAUCAGAUGUGCCCAGAUGGGAUUAGCUAGUAGGUGGGGUAACGGCUCACCUAGGCGACGAUCCCUAGCUGGUCUGAGAGGAUGACCAGCCACACUGGAACUGAGACACGGUCCAGACUCCUACGGGAGGCAGCAGUGGGGAAUAUUGCACAAUGGGCGCAAGCCUGAUGCAGCCAUGCCGCGUGUAUGAAGAAGGCCUUCGGGUUGUAAAGUACUUUCAGCGGGGAGGAAGGUGUUGAGGUUAAUAACCUCAGCAAUUGACGUUACCCGCAGAAGAAGCACCGGCUAACUCCGUGCCAGCCGCCGCGGUAA
rnacentral:rRNA from 1 species